rnacentral:lncRNA from 1 species
UUGGUUAAAUCAGUCAAAUAUACGGUAUUACAUACAUAAUUUGUCAAAUAAGAUCAUGGAUUGUGUUCCAUAGUAGAUCUCCUUAGCUUAGGUCGAAGAGUUAUAGAAGAUACACAUGAAUUGAACCUAGAAGUAGGAGAUGAAGUAGUAGAUGUUCUAGGUGAUGUUAUGUAUGUAGAGGGAAGAGGAUUAGGAUCUGAUUCUGAAGAAAGUUGGUUAUUGGACUGAGGUAAAUGAUGAGUUUGGUCGUGCACAGUGGGAAAUUCU